rnacentral:rRNA from 1 species
UACGUAGGUGGCGAGCGUUGUCCGGAUUUAUUGGGUUUAAAGGGUGCGUAGGCUGUGAGGUAAGUCAGCGGUGAAAUGCCCCCGCUCAACGGGGUGAAGUGCCAUUGAUACUGCCUUGCUGGAAUGCGGAUGCCGUGGGAGGAAUGUGUGGUGUAGCGGUGAAAUGCAUAGAUAUCACACAGAACACCGAUUGCGAAGGCAUCUCACGAAUCCGCUAUUGACGCUGAUGCACGAAAGCGUGGGUAUCAAACAGG